rnacentral:rRNA from 1 species
AAUGGCUCUUUCAUGAUUAUAUGAUAGGUGGUGCAUGGCCGUUCUUAGUUCGUGGAGUGAUCUGUCUGCUUAAUUGCGUUUCAAAUUUUUAUUUGAGGACCAGGUUUUGGUUUGGGUAGUGGUCCUACGAUGACUGUGAACUGUCAUGUCUUCGGAUGUGCGACUAUCGGUCUAGGAUCGCAUCUCAGCCCCUGGGACUCUUUUGAACGCAACGGACGUGAUUGCAACCCCUUGUUGAGAUUAGAGGAGUCUCGAUAUUCAUUGGCCAAACUUACCGCUUCGAGCUUGCUCGUGCAGUUUUGUUAGCCGGUGGAUAAACUCGGGGGACUGCUGACUAUAACCAUUUCUCAAAACAGAGGAAGGUUGCGGCAAUAACAGGUCUGUGAUGCCCUCAGAU